AGGGCUACCCCACGGCCUAGUGUAAUAGAGAUGAAGAAGUUGCUAGGUAAGGAGGGGAAGUAAGUAAUGUGUUGGUGUUGUAAUUUCACACUGUUCUGAUACUGUAUAGUUGCUUUAAAGAUUGUGAAGUACAAAUAACCCUGUACUUUUGGAUGAAAUGCAUUAUAAAUUUCAAAAUAAUGAACACUUCCCUUUUCUGAAUUUAAAGAAAUAACACUUUCUUUUCUGGAUUUUAAAUAAAUAAUUCCUUUUCUAGUUUUCAGAUAAAUAACCAUUCUUUCUUCUAAAUUUAAAUAAAUAAUUCUUCCUUUUUUAAAACUCAAAUAAUUUUUCCUUUUUAAAUUAUAAAUAAAUAAACCUUCCUAUUUCAAAAUUUAAAUAAAUAAUCCUUCCUUUUUUAAAAUUAUAAAUAAAUAAACCUUCGUUUUUUUAAAUUAAAUUUGAAUAAAUAACCAUUUCUUUUUUUAAAUUUGAAUAAAUAUUUAAUAAUCAUUUCUUUUUCCAAAUUUAAAUAAAUAACCUUCUUUUUUUCUAAAUUUGAAAUAAUAACCCCUUUUUUUGUGUGCUGGUGGUGUUACCACAGGUUUGUGUAUGCGUCUAGUGUGGUUGGGAGUCGAAGACUCUGACACUGCCGCUGGAUAGCUUAUAUUCAUAGGUGAAAAGAAAGCUGAGUGCGUAAGUCUUUCCUUCUAGUACAUAGCCUCUACACUAACAAGGCUUCUACAGUGCCUCCCCGUGACAGCACACGGUAACUAGGAUCUAGUGUCCUAGGCUUGACUGUAGAGGAUCUCGGAGUAGCAAGGACCCUAGAGAUGAAGUGUGUAGGCCGAUCGACAUGCGGACAUCACUAGCACUCAUCAACCUUGCCCCAGUUAUGGGUUAAAUAGCUGGCUGAAUGAUGGUCAUCAACCUUGAAAGGAUGUCUAGGAGAAGAAAACUCUUGAUAUGAAAUUUUUGGUCGUAUGACUCGUCAGCCUUGGUCUUCAAUUGAUUUAAAGGAAACAAAGCUUGAGUAAAGAUUCUCUGGUUCUCCAGGUUUGGGAUUGAGAAAUAUGUCAACAACCUAUCCUUGUAAAAGGGAAGAAUGAUUAUAUACUGAUUAAUCUCCCAUAUGAGGAACAUCACAACUGGGUCUGCAUGAAGCUUUGACAUUCAAAAGACAAGUUAUCCUGGAUAUUUUAAAAAUACGUAAAUGAUUUACUGAAGGAAAAUUGAUGGAAAGUAGGACCUGGAUGUAAAAUAAUACCAACUUAAGACAAAGCGUGCUUGUUAAUUUAAAAAUCAUCUGAAGCAGAGGAAGAAUGGAUUCUGUUGAUCUGAGGAACUUGGAAACACUAAUUGACAAACAAAUAU